GAGUUUGAUCCUGGCUCAGAUUGAACGCUGGCGGCAGGCCUAACACAUGCAAGUCGAGCGGAAACGAGUUAUCUGAACCUUCGGGGAACGAUAACGGCGUCGAGCGGCGGACGGGUGAGUAAUGCCUAGGAAAUUGCCCUGAUGUGGGGGAUAACCAUUGGAAACGAUGGCUAAUACCGCAUAACGCCUACGGGCCAAAGAGGGGGACCUUCGGGCCUCUCGCGUCAGGAUAUGCCUAGGUGGGAUUAGCUAGUUGGUGAGGUAAAGGCUCACCAAGGCGACGAUCCCUAGCUGGUCUGAGAGGAUGAUCAGCCACACUGGAACUGAGACACGGUCCAGACUCCUACGGGAGGCAGCAGUGGAGAAUAUUGCACAAUGGGCGCAAGCCUGAUGCAGCCAUGCCGCGUGUGUGAAGAAGGCCUUCGGGUUGUAAAGCACUUUCAGUCGUGAGGAAGGUAGUGUAGUUAAUAGCUGCAUUAUUUGACGUUAGCGACAGAAGAAGCACCGGCUAACUCCGUGCCAGCAGCCGCGGUAAUACGGAGGGUGCGAGCGUUAAUCGGAAUUACUGGGCGUAAAGCGCAUGCAGGUGGUUUGUUAAGUCAGAUGUGAAAGCCCGGGGCUCAACCUCGGAAUUGCAUUUGAAACUGGCAGACUAGAGUACUGUAGAGGGGGGUAGAAUUUCAGGUGUAGCGGUGAAAUGCGUAGAGAUCUGAAGGAAUACCGGUGGCGAAGGCGGCCCCCUGGACAGAUACUGACACUCAGAUGCGAAAGCGUGGGGAGCAAACAGGAUUAGAUACCCUGGUAGUCCACGCCGUAAACGAUGUCUACUUGGAGGUUGUGGCCUUGAGCCGUGGCUUUCGGAGCUAACGCGUUAAGUAGACCGCCUGGGGAGUACGGUCGCAAGAUUAAAACUCAAAUGAAUUGACGGGGGCCCGCACAAGCGGUGGAGCAUGUGGUUUAAUUCGAUGCAACGCGAAGAACCUUACCUACUCUUGGCAUCCAGAGAACUUUCCAGAGAUGGAUUGGAGCCUUCGGGAACUCUGAGACAGGUGCUGCAUGGCUGUCGUCAGCUCGUGUUGUGAGAUGUUGGGUUAAGUCCCGCAACGAGCGCAACCCCUAUCCUUAGUUGCCAGCGAUUCGGUCGGGAACUCUAAGGAGACUGCCGGUGAUAAACCGGAGGAAGGUGGGGACGACGUCAAGUCAUCAUGGCCCUUACGUGUAGGGCUACACACGUGCUACAAUGGCGCAUACAGAGUGCUGCGAACCUGCGAGGGUAAGCGAAUCACUUAAAGUGCGUCGUAGUCCGGAUUGGAGUCUGCAACUCGACUCCAUGAAGUCGGAAUCGCUAGUAAUCGUGGAUCAGAAUGCCACGGUGAAUACGUUCCCGGGCCUUGUACACACCGCCCGUCACACCAUGGGAGUGGGCUGCAAAAGAAGUAGGUAGUUUAACCUUCGGGAGGACGCUUACCACUUUGUGGUUCAUGACUGGGGUGAAGUCGUAACAAGGUAACCGUA
rnacentral:rRNA from 1 species